rnacentral:rRNA from 1 species
AACGAACGUUGGCGGCGUGGAUUAGGCAUGCAAGUCGAACGAAUCCCAUCUGGGCAACUGGGUGGGGAAGUGGCGAAAGGGGCAGUAAGGCAUGGGUAACCUGCCUCGGGGAUGGGGAUAGCCCUCCUAACGGAGGGGUAAUACCCAGCGAUCUGACGGAGGGGCAUCUCUCUGUCAGGAAAGGAAUUUUGCCUCGAGAGGGGCCCAUGUGGUAUUAGCUUGUUGGUGAGGUAAUGGCUCACCAAGGCCAAGAUGCCUAGCAGGUGUGAGAGCACGACCUGCGCCACUGGCACUGUGACACUGGCCAGACUCCUACGGGAGGCUG